GGUCUACUACACCUGUUGUAUUCGGCAUUUCACUGUAAGGUCUACUACACCUGUUGUAUUCAGCAUUUCACUGUAAGGUCUACUACACCUGUUGUAUUCAGCAUUUCACUGUAAGGUCUACUACACCUGUUGUAUUCAGCAUUUCACUGUAAGGUCUACUACACCUGUUGUAUUCAGCAUUUCACUGUAAGGUCUACUACACCUGUUGUAUUCAGCAUUUCACUGUAAGGUCUACUACACCUGUUGUAUUCAGCAUUUCACUGUAAGGUCUACUACACCUGUUGUAUUCAGCAUUUCACCGUAAGGUCUACUACACCUGUUGUAUUCAGCAUUUCACCGUAAGGUCUACUACACCUGUUGUAUUCAGCAUUUCACUGUAAGGUCUACUACACCUGUUGUAUUCAGCAUUUCACUGUAAGGUCUACUACACCUGUUGUAUUCAGCAUUUCACCGUAAGGUCUACUACACCUGUUGUAUUCAGCAUUUCACUGUAAGGUCUACUACACCUGUUGUAUUCAGCAUUUCACUGUAAGGUCUACUACACCUGUUGUAUUCAGCAUUUCACUGUAAGGUCUACUACACCUGUUGUAUUCAGCAUUUCACCGUAAGGUCUACUACACCUGUUGUAUUCAGCAUUUCACUGUAAGGUCUACUACACCUGUUGUAUUCAGCAUUUCACGGUAAGGUCUACUACACCUGUUGUAUUCAGCAUUUCACCGUAAGGUCUACUACACCUGUUGUAUUCAGCAUUUCACUGUAAGGUCUACUACACCUGUUGUAUUCAGCAUUUCACUGUAAGGUCUACUACACCUGUUGUAUUCAGCAUUUCACCGUAAGGUCUACUACACCUGUUGUAUUCAGCAUUUCACCGUAAGGUCUACUACACCUGUUGUAUUCAGCAUUUCACCGUAAGGUCUACUACACCUGUUGUAUUCAGCAUUUCACCGUAAGGUCUACUACACCUGUUGUAUUCAGUAUUUCACCGUAAGUUCUACUACACCUGUUGUAUUCAGCAUUUCACUGUAAGGUCUACUACACCUGUUGUAUUCAGCAUUUCACUGUAAGGUCUACUACACCUGUUGUAUUCAGUAUUUCACUGUAAGGUCUACUACACCUGUUGUAUUCAUCAUUUCACUGUAAGGUCUACUACACCUGUUGUAUUCAGCAUUUCACUGUAAGGUCUACUACACCUGUUGUAUUCAGCAUUUCACUGUAAGGUCUACUACACCUGUUGUAUUCAGCAUUUCA